rnacentral:rRNA from 1 species
GACAGAGGAUGCAAGCGUUGUCCGGAAUUAUUGGGCGUAAAGAGCUUGUAGGCGGUUUGUCGCGUCUGCUGUGAAAAUCCGGGGCUCAACCCCGGACUUGCAGUGGGUACGGGCAGACUAGAGUGUGGUAGGGGAGACUGGAAUUCCUGGUGUAGCGGUGAAAUGCGCAGAUAUCAGGAGGAACACCGAUGGCGAAGGCAGGUCUCUGGGCCACUACUGACGCUGAGGAGCGAAAGCGUGGGGAGCGAACAGG